UCCGAUGGGAAGAGAAAACCCCAAAACACAAGGCAUUCCAUUUCCCUUCACAUAUUUCGAAUUUUGUCUCCGUUUAUUUCCUUCCUCCGCACUUCCACGGUUUCUCUUCUCCCCAAAAAUCGCUCCCUUCUCUUCUUUUCUCUCACAAAAUCCACUUCCUAACGUAACACAAGAAGCAGAAGCAGAAGCAGAAGCAGAAAGCAGAAAGCAGAAGCAGAAAGCAGGAAGCAGAAGAUAAUCAGAUACCUCAAAAACCAUUCUCUCUCUCUUUUUUUGGUUUAAUUUGUCUCUUUCUCUCUCUUCCUCCUGUGCGCGAUUAAAGAUCUGUUGCUGAAAAGGAUGAAGAGAGUAAGAGAUGAUGUGUUCGGCGGUGCUCAAUUGAAGCGGCCCCCCGGUUCGUCGCGCGGGGACUCGCAAUCCCAGAUACCGGGGGGAGGAGGUGGAGGAGGGGGCGUUGGAGUAGGUGGAGGUGGGCCCAUUGGAGGAGUAGGAGGUGCUUCACAGAAAUUGACCACCAAUGACGCUCUAACCUACCUCAAAGAAGUGAAGGACAUGUUUCUAGACCAAAGAGAAAAAUACGAUACAUUUCUUGAGGUCAUGAAAGAUUUCAAGGCUCAAAGAACCGACACAGCAGGUGUCAUUGCAAGAGUAAAGGAAUUAUUUAAAGGGCAUAACAACUUAAUUUUGGGCUUUAAUACCUUCUUGCCGAAGGGUUAUGAGAUAACCCUUGAUGAAGAUGAGACUCCACCAAAAAAGACAGUUGAGUUUGAGGAAGCUAUCAGUUUUGUAAACAAGAUAAAGAAACGUUUCCAAAAUGAUGAUCAUGUCUAUAAAUCAUUCCUGGACAUACUAAACAUGUAUCGAAAGGAGCACAAGGAUAUAAAUGAAGUUUACAGUGAGGUUGCUGCUCUUUUUGAUGAGCAUCCAGAUUUACUUGAUGAGUUCACCAGAUUUUUACCAGAUGCGUCAGCAGCAGCUUCAGCACAUCAAGCUCAAUAUGGCCACAAUUCAUUUCCCCGUUUCAAUGAGCGAAGCUCUGCUACACCCACAUUUCGGCCAAUGCAUAUGGAGAAGCAACGUAGGAGGGAUAGGAUCAUGACACCCCAUGCUGAUCGUGAUCUUAGUGUUGAUCGUCCUGAGCUCGACGAUGACAAAGGAAUGGUGAAAGUUCCGAAGGAGCACAGAAAGCGUAGUGAAAAGGAGAAUAGGGAUAGAAGAAAUCGGGACGAUGAUGAUAGAGAAUUAGAGAAUGAUAACAAUAGGGACUACAAAUUACAGCGUUUUCCUGAUAAAAGAAAACCCUCCAGGAAGGUUGAAGGUUUUGGUGUGACUGCUAACUUCGCUCCUUAUGAUGACAAAGACUCCUUAAAGAGCAUGUACAGCCAGGGAUUCAUUUUCUGUGGGAAGGUGAAGGAGAGGUUGUGUAGUCAAGAUGACUACGAGGCAUUUUUGAAGUUGCUUAACAUAUAUAGCAACGGAAUUAUUAAAAGGAAUGAUCUGCAAGGUUUGGUGACUGAUUUAUUGGGAAAGUAUUCAGAUCUUAUGGAGGAGUUUAAUGAUUUUUUGGAGCGUUGCGAGAAUAUAGAUGGGUUCCUUGCUGGUGUUAUGAGUAGAAAAUCUCUGAGUAGUGAUGGUCCUGUUCCUUCAUCUAGAUCCCUGAAGGUAGAGGACAAAAAUAAAGAGCCAAAGCGUGAAAUGGAGGGAGCUAAAGAAAAGGAAAGAUACAGGGAGAAGUAUUGGGCAAAAUCUAUUCAAGAGCUUGACCUCUCUAACUGUGAACGUUGUACUCCAAGCUAUCGGCUUCUGCCUGAAGACUAUCCAAUACCUUCAGCAAGCCAGAGAUCAGAACUUGGUGCUCAGGUUCUGAAUGACCAUUGGGUAUCUGUGACUUCAGGAAGUGAAGAUUACUCUUUUAAACAUAUGCGCAGAAAUCAGUAUGAAGAAAGUCUGUUCAGAUGUGAGGAUGAUAGGUUUGAGUUGGAUAUGUUGUUAGAGUCGGUGAGCUCAACUGCUAAGCGAGCAGAGGAACUCUUGAACAGCAUCAAUGAAAAUAAGAUCAGCAUGGAAACUGUAAUCCGUAUUGAAGACCACUUCACUGCUUUAAACUUAAGGUGCAUUGAACGUUUAUAUGGUGACCAUGGUCUUGAUGUGAUGGACAUACUGCGGAAAAAUCCAACUCUGGCCUUGCCUGUUGUAUUAACUCGCCUGAAGCAGAAACAAGAUGAAUGGACAAGGUGUAGAUCCGAUUUUAACAAGGUUUGGGCAGAUAUAUAUGCCAAAAACCAUUACAAAUCACUUGAUCACCGGAGCUUCUAUUUCAAGCAACAAGAUUCAAAGAACUUGAGUAGCAAAUCUUUGGUGGCUGAGAUCAAAGAAUUGAAAGAGAAAAAGCAGAUAGAGGAUGAUAUCCUUCUGGCUGUUGCUGCUGGAAACAGGCAAUCUAUAGUUCCACAUAUGGAGUAUGAAUACUUAGAUAUCAGCUUACAUGAAGACUUGUAUAAACUUGUCCAAUAUUCAUGUGAAGAGGUUUUCUCAACGAAAGAACAAUUAAAUAAGGCUAUGAGACUUUACACUACCAUUUUGGAGCCAAUGCUGGGUGUUUCUUCUCGACCCAACGAUUCAGAGGAUGAUGAAGAUGUCGACAAAAGUAGGAAUCAGGCUAAGAAUUGUAUUGCUUCAAGCAUAGGAGAAAGCGAUGGAAGUCCUGGUGGCGAUUCUGCCCCAGUGAAUCUUAAGCAGCCCAAAUCUGUGUGUAAUGAAGAAGGAAAUGCUUUAGCAGAAGUUGAAAGUUUGGCUAACGGGGAUAACUCAGCUAAAGAAGAUGGAAGUCGUGAUGCACAUCCUGUCUCUAGGAAAGAUUCCACAUCUGAGAAACUUCAACUAGAGAGAGACCAGAAAAAUACGGAUGUCCCUAAGAAAAGGUUUCUGGCCACCAACACGGACAAUGCAUGGCCGUCCAGUCAACCAUCACAUCCAAUUGGAGCAGAUAAUAAUCAUGGUAGAACGAGCUUGGAAGUGCUAUCAGGGUGUGUUGCAACCACAUCAAGGGCUGGUGCCUCUAUUAGUGGCAAUGACCCUUUACAGCAAGGAAAUGCUGAUGCUGUUCCGUCAUCAGAGGGUGGUGAUAUUGCAAAACCUGCUUUAAUUGCUAAUGGAGUAUUUCCAGAAAGCACUAAAGUUAAAAGUCAUCAUGAAGAGUCUCUUGGGCCCUCCAAAAUUGAAAAGGAAGAGGGGGAAUUAUCACCAAUUGCUGACUUUGGGGAGGAUAACUUUGUUGUCCCUGGAGAUGCUGGGGUGCAAGCUAAGGCAAACCGCAGUAUUGAAAGUAGACUGUUUCAGUCUGGGAAUAGGGAAGACAUUAGUGGUCAGGAAGCUGGAGACAAUGAUGCAGAUGCAGAUGAUGAAAACAGUGAAAAUGUUUCCGAGGCUGGUGAAGAUGUCUCUGGCAGUGAGACAGCUGGUGAUGAAUGUUCCCGAGAAGAGCAAGGUGAUGAUGAAGAUGCUGAACAAGAUGACAUUGAUGGUAAGGCUGAGAGCGAAGGUGAGGCUGAAGGGAUGGCUGAUGGACAUCUUGUUGGAGGAGAUGGAAUGUGUUCGCCGUUGUCCGAAUGUUUUCUUUUAUCUGUGAAACCUCUUGCGAAGCAUGUACCAGGUUCUUUACUUGAAGAAAGGAAAGACUCUCGUGUUUUCUAUGGGAAUGAUAAUUUCUAUGUGCUUUAUAGGCUUCAUCAAAUUCUAUAUGAAAGGAUUUUAUCUGCAAAAACAAGUUCCACAGGUGCAGAAAUGAAAUGGAGAACUUCAAAGGAUGGCAGCUCUCCGGAUCUGUAUGACAGAUUUAUGAGUGCUCUAUACAAUUUGCUAGAUGGAUCUAUUGAUAACGCAAAAUUUGAGGAUGAAUGCCGAGCUAUUAUUGGAAACCAGUCAUAUAUAUUAUUCACCUUGGACAAAUUAAUAUAUAAAUUCGUCAAACAGCUUCAAACUGUUGCAAGUGAUGAGACUGACAAUAAGCUGCUUCAAUUAUAUGAAUAUGAAAAGUCCCGGAAAACUGGGAAGUUAAUUGAUUCUGUUUACCAUGAAAAUGCACGUGUCCUCAUUCAUGAGGAGAAUAUUUACAGAUUGGAGUUUUCCUCUGUGCCCUCCCGACUGUCCAUCCAGUUGAUGGACAGUGUGAGUGAAAAGCCCGAGGUGUUUGCAGUUUCUAUGGAACCUAAUUUUGCAUCCUAUCUGCACAAUGAAUUUCUGCCGGUUUUUCCUGGAAAAAAGGAGCCGCAUGGGAUUACCCUUCAGAGAAACAAGCGCAAAUAUGCAGGGCAAGAUGAAUCCUCUGCCUUUUGCAGGGCCAUGGAUGGUGUUCAGUUAGUCAAUGGAUUGGAGUGCAAGAUAGCUUGCAACUCAUCCAAGGUAUCUCGCCCUCAUCUCUUACGUUCUUGACACAGAAGAUUACUUCUUCCGUAUGAGAAGGAAAAGGAGAACAUCUGGGGCCAGAUCACCGUAUUGUGAUCAGACGAGAGUACAGCGGUUCCACAAAUUCUUAUCAGUCUCAUCAUAGCUUAGAAGGAAAUUCCUUUUGAGAUUGGGAAGCUAAAGGAGUCAUCUACUCGAUUUCUGAGACCGGAGAAGGAUGGUGGUGGUCCUGCACACGUAGAGCAUGUCCGGGUCAGAAGAUCGGCCUAGGAGCCAUUGUUGUGUAUAUAAGGUUGGUGUAUGAUAAUUUCGUAGAAAAGGUAUUUUAAGUUAUAGUUCCUUGUCAUAGAUAGGAUAUUUUCUUCCCCACUUCCAUAAGCACACUUAGUGUAACAAAUUGAUCAAAUAUAGCAGAAAAGCGCGCGUGUUUUAACAAAUCCCGGGCUUUCUUUGCGGUCUCAUACCAGCAUUUUGCAGGCAUUACUGCAUCAUUAUUCUUUUCCGCCGUAAGAUUAUGUCAGUUUUAUAGAACAGAUUCUUUAAAUUUCAGUGUAAAGUAGUGUGAUAAGAUAUCUAUCUGUAAUAGUUUACAACUGUUCGCGUUCUUCGUCAAUAACUCUUUUUGCUCUGGAAAA